UCCAGACCACACUGAGCAUGUGCAGUGUCACUGACACGCAAAAGAUGGCCUAACAAGAUAAGAAGAUGGGUCGCCGCUAUGGACAGUUUAAAAGCAUGGAUCAUUACUGUUAUAGAGCUGCUGAUCCUCAGGGCUGGGACGGAUCCCUUGUAGCCACACGAUUGUGUAAGAAGCACUUGGUGACACAGUGAUGAGUUCCCACCACCGAUGGAAUGUUAAUGAAAGCAGACUGCCUGGUUCUCAGAUAGUGUGCUUCUGAACAUGAGUGGCCAACGUAAUUUAUUGUUGUGUGAAAAUAAAUAUCAACAAACUGAUGCUCUACUGCUGGAGAAACA